rnacentral:rRNA from 1 species
UACGUAGGGGGCAAGCGUUGUCCGGAAUCAUUGGGCGUAAAGCGCGUGUAGGCGGUUCGGUAAGUCCGCUGUGAAAGUCAACGGCUCAACUGUUGGAUGCCGGUGGAUACUGUCGGGCUAGAGUACGGAAGAGGCAAGUGGAAUUCCUGGUGUAGCGGUGGAAUGCGCAGAUAUCAGGAAGAACACCCGUGGCUAAGGCGGCUCUCUAGUACGGUACUGACGCUGAGACGCGAAAGCGUGGGGAGCGAACAGG